rnacentral:rRNA from 1 species
AUUGAACGCUAGCGGCAUGCCUUAUACAUGCAAGUCGAACGAGUGGCGGACGGGUGAGUAAUAUAUCGGAACGUGCUCAGUAGCGGGGGAUAACUAGUGGAACCGGUAGCUAAUACCGCAUACCAUCCGAUGAACCCAUAUGGGAUUAGCUAGUAGGUGAGGUAACGGCUCACCUAGGCGACGAUCCCUAGCUGGUCUGAGAGGAUGAUCGGCCACACUGGGACUGAGACACGGCCCAGACUCCUACGGGAGGCAGCAGUAGGGAAUCUUGCGCAAUGGGCGAAAGCCUGAUGCAGCCAUGCCGCGUGUGUGAAGAAGGCCUUAGGAUUGUAAAGUUCUUUCAUUCGGGAAGCGUUACCGACACAGAAAGCACCGGCUAACUCCGUGCCAGCAGCCGCGGUAAUUC